ensembl:lncRNA
AGCAGAGAGGACUGGAGAAUUGCCAGAACCACUGCUUCUUUCUGUUGUUCUUACUCCUAGACAACACGAAGUAGGAGACCCCAACAUCUUUGGGCCAUGGUUCUUCUGUUUUGAUGAUACCAGAUGGCCUCACAUCUAUGAGAACGGCUAUCACUAAGAAACAAAGGAUAACAAGCGUUGGAGAAGACGUGAGGAAAUUGGAACCCUUGUACGCUCCCUGCAGUCCCCAUAUGAACAAGGCCAAGCCAGCCUGCUGGAGAAGGACCAUGAGGAGCAGGGCUGACACAACCCAACUGAGGCCACCUUUGAUCACGCAGCUGACAGCAGAUGGCUGAGCCAGCCCAGCCGAAAGCAGCCAUGCCUAGCCCAGCAAUAAGCACCGCACCAGCCCAUAGACUUGUGCAACUUAUUUUGGCAAGUCAAGCCUUGGCACCAAGAGAGCAGGGAGCGAGAGGUGUGGGGGCCGAGGUCAGAUGGGUCCCCACAUCCUAUUCUCUGGAGCAGCAGCAACACUGUCAUCUCGCUCACCUUUCUUCACAGCCUGCAGUGCCCCACGUGGAGGUGUGGGCUCACCAGGGAGGACUCUCACCUCGGACAGCUGAUCCCUGUCCCCCAUGCCCAGGGACAUUCUUCUUGCCAGGAGUGGAUGAGUUCCCAGUGGAGAUGGUGGACUCCUAAGCUUUUCAAGGGAUGGGCUCAAGUAAUACAAUCCCCCCGCACACCUAGCCAUCGGUGGCCCCUUGUUCUCAGCUUUCAGUUGCUUCUGUGUAUGCGAUACCAGAAUCCAGGUCACAGCUCAACUGGACAUCACGGCACUGACAUUGUUCAUUUUCAUUUUGGCAGCACGCUCAGAGCUGUUCAAGAGAAGGUCACAGCGAGAUCAUAUAAACCAAAUUUAGCCAUCUGGGUACAAGGAGAGAGUUAAGUGAUUCGUGUCUGAUAAGGAAAACCAGCUUUUCACAAAGCAUCCUUUAGCGGGAGCCUUUUAGAAACCCCAGAGAUGACACCUGUCAAACCUCACAGCGCACCUGGGCUUGAGGGGACCGGAGAGUGCACAGGUUCCCUGUGUAGAUGAGAUCCCGAGGACAUGGUGGUAGUUUUCUCAUCUUAGACUAACUCCUAUAUCCCAAAGUCCCAGAGCACUUUAUGUUCCCUGGUCACACGUUGAGGGAGGCGAUUUUAAACUAACUGGAGCAGAGAGGCUGGGGCGGGGCUUAGUUCACCUCCACUCAUGGUCUCUGCUCACCCUGAAGUCACAUCUGGCACUAAACCAUUUCCCUAGAAUAGGUGCCUCACUCUGCUACACAUUAAUCACGAAACUAAACAAGAGAUUUGACCGAGCAUGGUGGCUCACGCCUGUAAUCCCAGCACUUUGGGAGGCCAAGGCAAGCAGUUCACCUGAGGUCAGGAGUUCAAGACCCGCCUGGCCAACAUGGUGAAACCCCAUCUCUACUAAAAAUGCAAAAAGUAGCCAGGUGUGGUGGCAGGUACCUGUAAUCCCAGCUACUUGGGAGGCUGAGGCAGGAGAAUUGCUUGAACCCGGGAGGUGGAGCUUGCAGUGAGCCGAUAUCGCACCACCACACUCCAGCCUGGGCAACAGAGCAAGACUCCAUCUCAAAAAUAAAUAAAUAAAUAAAUAAAUAAAUAAAUAAAUAAACAAGAGAUUUGGCAGGGCUGGAGUGGGGUGGAAAUCAGGAAAUCAUACACCGGAUAGCAAAAUCUCACAGAACUUUUCUUUCAACAUCUCUCUUCAUUUCCUGAAGACCCUUCCACCAAAACCUACCCCAUAUUUCUUCCCCCUCUCCCCCCACACAGUUCCUCAGAUCAACUCCAAUGGCCGUAGCCCACUCCGCAAGGCAGAUGCCAGACAUUUGGUCUUCUCAUCCUCAUUCUCCAUCCUUGGAAGCCACUUAAUGAGGAAU